rnacentral:rRNA from 1 species
UACAGAGGUCCCGAGCGUUGUUCGGAUUUAUUGGGCGUAAAGGGUGCGUAGGUGGCGUCGUAAGUGGGGUGUGAAAUCCCGGGGCUUAACCCCGGGACUGCAUUCCAUACUGCGGUGCUUGAGGACUGGAGAGGAGACUGGAAUUUACGGUGUAGCAGUGAAAUGCGUAGAGAUCGUAAGGAAGACCAGUGGCGAAGGCGGGUCUCUGGACAGUUCCUGACACUGAGGCACGAAGGCCAGGGGAGCAAACGGG